rnacentral:rRNA from 1 species
GAUGAACGCUGGCGGCGUGCCUAAUACAUGCAAGUCGAGCGAACAGAUGAGGAGCUUGCUCCUCUGACGUUAGCGGCGGACGGGUGAGUAACACGUGGAUAACCUACCUAUAAGACUGGGAUAACUUCGGGAAACCGGAGCUAAUACCGGAUAAUAUAUUGAACCGCAUGGUUCAAUAGUGAAAGACGGUUUUGCUGUCACUUAUAGAUGGAUCCGCGCCGCAUUAGCUAGUUGGUAAGGUAACGGCUUACCAAGGCAACGAUGCGUAGCCGACCUGAGAGGGUGAUCGGCCACACUGGAACUGAGACACGGUCCAGACUCCUACGGGAGGCAGCAGUAGGGAAUCUUCCGCAAUGGGCGAAAGCCUGACGGAGCAACGCCGCGUGUGUGAUGAAGGUCUUCGGAUCGUAAAACUCUGUUAUUAGGGAAGAACAAAUGUGUAAGUAACUAUGCACGUCUUGACGGUACCUAAUCAGAAAGCCACGGCUAACUACGUG